rnacentral:rRNA from 1 species
GUGUCAGCCGCCGCGGUAAGACGUAGGGAGCGAGCGUUGUCCGGAUUCAUUGGGCGUAAAGCGCGCGUAGGCGGCUUCGUUAGUCGGGUGUGAAAAUCCGGGGCUCAACCCCGGACCUGCAUCCGAUACUGCGAGGCUAGAGGUAGGUAGGGGAGAUCGGAAUUCCUGGUGUAGCGGUGAAAUGCGCAGAUAUCAGGAGGAACACCGGUGGCGAAGGCGGAUCUCUGGGCCUUACCUGACGCUGAGGUGCGAAAGCUAGGGGAGCGAACAGGAUUAGAUACCCUGGUAGUCCUAGCCGUAAACGUUGGACGCUAGGUGUGGGCGGAUAUCAACCCCGUCUGUGCCGUCGCUAACGCAUUAAGCGUCCCGCCUGGGGAGUACGGCCGCAAGGCUAAA